GACGAAGGUGGCGAGCGUUGUUCGGAAUUACUGGGCAUAAAGCGCACGUAGGUGGUGUUGUAAGUCGGAUGUGAAAUCCCUCGGCCUAACCGAGGAACUGCGUCCGAUACUGCGGUGCUUGAGGAUCAGAGGGGUGCAUGGAAUUUCCGGUGGAGCGGUGAAAUGCGUUGAUAUCGGAAGGAACUCCGGCGGCGAAAGCGAUGCACUGGCUGAUUUCUGACGCUGAGGUGCGAAAGCCAGGGGAGCAAACGGG
rnacentral:rRNA from 1 species